ensembl:lncRNA
GAAUGACUCAAACUACCAGAACAACUAAAUGAAACUUGAGCGUUACACCUGUGGAAUGGUAUCAGGAAGGCUACCGUGUAUAACUAACUAUACAAUACUGCACAGCUUUUCAACAGUGAUGUGUUCUUUUUUAGCAACACAAUAGGGAUCUUUAAGGGACACAAUAAGAUGACCGUAUAUCACGGUCUCGUUCAUUGACCGCUGGUCUAGAAAUCAACAGUUCUGGAGAAAACAGGUAUUUACUAUGAGGGGCGUCAGGUAGCCUAGUGGUUUAGAGGGGCGUCAGGUAGCCUAGUGGUUAAGAGGGGCGUCAGGUAGCCUAGUGGUUUAGAGGGGCGUCAGGUAGCCUAGUGGUUAAGAGGGGCGUCAGGUAGCCUAGUGGUUAAGAGGGGCGGCAGGUAGCCUAGUGGUUUAGAGCGUUGGGUCAGUAACUGAAAAGGUUGCUGGAUUGAAUCGCCGAGCCGACAAGGUAAAAAUCUGUUGCUCUUCCCCACUGUUCCUCCGGUAGGCCGGUCAUUGUAAAUAAUAAUUUGUCUUGCCUAGUUAAAUGAAAGGUUAAAUAAAUAUUUACUUGUGACAACUUUCAACACUUAACGGGAACUGAUCUGAAAACAAGACCGGCAUUUUACAACUAAAGCUUUGAAAGGAUGUGACCUUUCUAAGGUUUGAAAUAUCUUGAGAGGCUUAUGUGUUCAUCGAGGUUGGAGCUUUGGACAGGAUCAGGUCUAAACCAGGAUUAUAUCCGGGCAGAAAUUGGUUAGGGUCCUUUGGAUCAGGUCUAAACCAGGAUUAUAUCCGAGCAGAAAUUAGUUAGUUCGUUUCAUUGGAUCAGGUCUAAACCAGGAUUAUAUCCGAGCAGAAAUUAGUUAGGGUCCUUUGGAUCAGGUCUAAACCAGGAUUA